UUUUCUUCUGGGCUAAGAUCAAGUGCAGUAUCUGUUCUUAUCUGUUUAAUAUCAGGCAGGUUCCCUUUGCUAGGAGGGGGCUGCUCCAAAUUGUACAGAUUUUUAAGAGUGGUGCCCAAGUUUGCUGGGGCCCUCUCUGCUUGACCCAGGCAUCAUUCGGGUAUGGCAAUGGGUCCAAGAGUGGUGAACCACCU